rnacentral:lncRNA from 1 species
AUUAUAUUUUAUUUAUAAUUAUUAUAAAGUUAAAAAAAAAAGACCAACUAACUAAUGCGGCCACAGCUGCGCUAAUCGGAUUUAGCUAAUGCAGUAAGGGUAUGUUUGGCAGGUGGUAUUGCAUUGUAUUAUCUUGUGGGCCCAGCAUUAGUUAAAAUAUACCUGUGUUUGGUGAUCAAAUGGAUUGCAUUGAGCAGCAUUAAAAUGCAGCUUUUGCUGCAUUAUCAAAACUCGCGCCCCCCUCAUGAUUAGGCUGUAUUACUGAUUUUUGUGUUUUAAAAGUCAGUAGCUUCCCCUUUUUUUAACUUUAUAAUAAUAGUAAUAAAUAAAUAAAAUUUUAAUUUAAUAUAAUAUUAUACAAUAU